GACGAACGCUGGCGGCGUGCUUAACACAUGCAAGUCGAACGGAAAGGCUCCAGCUUGCUGGAGUACUCGAGUGGCGAACGGGUGAGUAACACGUGGGUAAUCUGCCCUGCACUCUGGGAUAAGCCUGGGAAACUGGGUCUAAUACUGGAUAUGACCUUUCUCCUUAUGGGGUUUGGUGGAAAGUUUUUCGGUGUAGGAUGAGCCCGCGGCCUAUCAGCUUGUUGGUGGGGUGAUGGCCUACCAAGGCGACGACGGGUAGCCGGCCUGAGAGGGUGAUCGGCCACAUGGGGACUGAGAUACGGCCCAGACUCCUACGGGAGGCAGGAGGGGGGAAUAUUGCAAAAUGGGCGGAAGCCUGAUGCAGCGACGCCGCGGGAGGGAUGACGGCCUUCGGGUUGUAAACCUCUUUCAGCAGGGACGAAGCGUAAGUGACGGUACCUGCAGAAGAAGCACCGGCUAACUAUGU
rnacentral:rRNA from 1 species